rnacentral:rRNA from 1 species
UACGUAGGGUGCAAGCGUUAAUCGGAAUUACUGGGCGUAAAGCGUGCGCAGGCGGUUUUGUAAGUCUGUCGUGAAAUCCCCGGGCUCAACCUGGGAAUUGCGAUGGAGACUGCAAGGCUAGAAUCUGGCAGAGGGGGGUAGAAUUCCACGUGUAGCAGUGAAAUGCGUAGAGAUGUGGAGGAACACCGGUGGCGAAGGCGGCAUCCUGGACCGACACUGACGCUGAGGAGCGAAAAGCCAGGGGAGCAAACGGG